AACGAACGCUGGCGGCAUGCCUAACACAUGCAAGUCGAACGAGACCUUCGGGUCUAGUGGCGCACGGGUGCGUAACGCGUGGGAAUCUGCCCUGGGGUGCGGAAUAACUCGGAGAAAUCCGUGCUAAUACCGCAUAAUGUCUUCGGACCAAAGAUUUAUCGCCCUGGGGUGAGCCCGCGUAGGAUUAGCUAGUUGGUGGGUAAAGGCCUACCAAGGCGACGAUCCUUAGCUGGUCUGAGAGGAUGAUCAGCCACACUGGGACUGAGACACGGCCCAGACUCCUACGGGAGGCAGCAGUGGGAAUAUUGGACAAUGGGCGAAAGCCUGAUCCAGCAAUGCCGCGUGAGUGAUGAAGGCCCUAGGGUUGUAAAGCUCUUUUACCCGGGAUGAUAAUGACAGUACCGGGAGAAUAAGCUCCGGCUAACUCCGUGCCAGCAGCCGCGGUAAU
rnacentral:rRNA from 1 species